GCCGGUGCUGUGACCGCUGCGCUAACGCGUUGACAUACUAUGAGUAAAGUUCGCUAUCAGGCGUACGUAAUAACAACCGGGACUGACAGCCUAGCGUGUUGUCCGAGGCUAGGUUGGGAGAACCACAAGGAUUAACAACUAGACCGAAAAUAAAUAUUUGUAUAAAUAUAAAUAUCCACUCCGAGCGGGAAUAGAACCCGCAACCGUCGGUGUUUAGGCGCCGCCGACACGGCACAUGCACCAUUAUAUCAAAGCGGUCGUCAAACAGCAAAAGGUAACUGCUGUAAAUUGUUGAGAAAUUCCCUCGAGUGUUUAUGGGCUCCAUCAUCAAACCUGGUCCUGCGACACCGAUGAUCACACAGCAGGUAAUUGCUAUAAAUCGUUGAAAAGUUCCCUCGACUAUCUUUCGUCUCCAUCAUCAGACCUUAAUGGCACUUGUAACUCAUAUAGGUGCAAAGUUCUCAUCAAUAUAAACGAAUUAAGUUCAAACAGCAGGUAAUUGCUAUAAACCGUUAAAGAGUUCCCUCGACUAACUUUUGUCUCCAUCAUCAGACUGUAAUGGUACUUAUAACUCAUACAGGUGCAAAGUUCUCAUCAAUAAAAACGAAUUAAGUUCAAAAAGCAGGUAAUUGCUAUAAAUUGUUGAAGAGUUCCCUCGACUAUCUUUCUUCUCCAUCAUCAGAUCGACUCCAGACCUUUAUUAAAUAGUAGUGCUUUAUAGUACUUAAUGAAAACAUGAUUAAAUUUACUAGUCGCCCUUACGAUUUUUGAAAGUUUCCCUCGAUUUCUCUGGGAUCCCAUCAUCAGAUCCUGGUUUCCUUAUCAUGGUACCAAACUAUGAAUGUCUCCUUUCCAACAAAAAAAGAAUUAUCAAAAUCGGUUCAUAAACGAAGAAGUUAUCUCCGAACAUACA
rnacentral:misc_RNA from 1 species